UCAUCGUAUAAUCGAUCUCCAAUUUCAAUUGCCUGCUUAAGACUCAAAUAGAAAUCAACGAAAGUAACAUUGCUGAAAAUUCAGACGAUCGAGUAUAGACCUCCUAUUUAUGCAAGCUGGCCGGUGUAUUUCUUAACUCUGCAUUUGUAAUUUGUACUACACAGUUAGCCUGAUCGUGCUUUGUGCAGCUAGCAGCAAAUUAAUUACAGAGAGGCCAGUGAACUUCGAUGGCUGCUCGCCUUAGCGUUGGCGUUGGGUUGCAGGCAAUCCUAGUGACGUCCCUCUUGCUGCAGAUGACAUUAUUUCUGCCGUGUGCGCUCGCCACCGAUGGCAGAAAGCCUUCCCAGCUACUGAUCAUGGGCAGAGAGAUGCAUCAAGGCUUGGAUCCAACCAAAUCCACACGAUGUCGUCGAAUCCUAGUGCCGCGGCUAGUGAAGCACAACUGGGAUCCGGGACAUAACCCUCCUUGUUGCUAGGAAUUUGAGCCGGCCCUUUACAGAGAAGUACUGUAGGUAUGGUAAUGGAGCCAUGGAGAUAUAUAACUCCAUUUAUCCGGGUUUAAAUCAUGGUUCCUAGCUGUGGACCCGUAUAUUGCACGGGCACUGUAAUUACUUUUUUCGAUUAUAUGAAAGACUUACACGCUCAAAAAUGUUAUUUUAUUUUUUUUCUCUUAUUUUUUAAUAUAUUUUGUACAGAUCUUAUAUUGCUAAUAACCGCAGUAUUUAAUUUUGUAUAGUGGAGUUGUGUUCUUGAUCAGAUUGAAUGCUAUUGUUAUAUAUAUUGCAGAAGUGAUAGAAAAAAUAUUUUUUGAA